UACGUAGGUGGCGAGCGUUGUCCGGAAUUACUGGGUGUAAAGGGAGCGCAGGCGGGACAGCAAGUUGGAUGUGAAAUACCGGAGCUUAACUUCGGAGCUGCAUCCAAAACUGUUGUUCUUGAGUGGAGUAGAGGCAAGCGGAAUUCCGAGUGUAGCGGUGAAAUGCGUAGAUAUUCGGAGGAACACCAGUGGCGAAGGCGGCUUGCUGGGCUCUAACUGACGCUGAGGCUCGAAAGGGUGGGGAGCAA
rnacentral:rRNA from 1 species